ACUCACUCCACUUUCCAGCCCCACAGCUGAAAAAAUCUUCCUCCGCUCGAGCUCCAUGGACGGUGAGUAGAAGGCGGCGACUGCCAUGGUGUAGCCGGUGAGCCGUGCCGGCCGGCCUGCAAGAGCCACCACGCCACCUCGACCGCCGCCGGCCACUACUACCUCCAUUGCCGCCGCCGCCGCUACCUCCUUCCCCGAUGCCGGCCGCCGUCGAUUCACCGCCACAACACCUUCCCCUCUCCCUCGGUUCCUUUGGGCCCUCACACGUUCGAUUUCUUCGCCGGAUCUCCACCUCCGGUCACGACACCAUCGCCGCCGCCUUGUCCUCCCUUACCGCUGUCUUCCAGGACGAGCUCCUCCAUGCGAGGUGCACCAGAUCGGGCGUGGGCAUCCAGAUCUACGGCAGCUCGGUCGAGGAAGGCCACAUCUACGGCAGCUUGGUCGACAGCGACGGGAUCCAUGGCCCCGUCUCCUGCUUCGAUUCGGUUGACUAGAGUUAUUGCCACCGCGGAUCUCGCUGUCCCCGUCAUGGAUGCCUCGCCCACGGGCUUCUCCGCCGCCGCCGGCGAGGCCCCGAACAUCUGAUGUUGGCAUUUGUUAGAGUUGCACCUGACCAUCUCCCUACAAUUCAUUAUCAGAAUGUUAUAGUUAAAGAAGGAGGACUAUGAAGUUGCCAGGAAAGUCUUUGGGGGCAUCAUCAAAAUCAAGCCUAUGAAGAAAAGAAGCAUAAAGCCCUUCAUAGGGUGCUUGCAGAGGUGAGAGGUUGGAGAACCUAGUGGAGUGGUGAAUCUAAGUGUUGCUUCACAGGUAGGGAAGUUUUUGCUAUUUCAGCUACUUGCCAUUUUUGCCCUGAACUUUCCAUUAUCCGUUGUGAGUGUGAUUAGGCCACUUGUUUUAGACAACUGCUGAAAACACUAUAAUGGUGUCAAAAUUUUGUGCUCAUAUAGCUAAUGGCCGUUUUCAGUAUAUGCUUAUAAUGAUGAUUAAUAAUAGCAGUCCUAGCUGCUGUUCUGAAACUCUGCACUUGCAGGUCACAACUCUGUAUAGAAUUGAUUUCUCAGGAAGAAGGGAGCACACAGUUAGUUAGCUGAUGAUGUCAGUUGUAAGAUAGCAUUCUUUAUUUUAGCCAUGACCAAAGUUCCUCUAUCUGACUAAGCAAUGCAUCUCAUGUCCUCACUUGGAGACUAUCUAGUUACAUUAUCCGAAUGUAUUUGUGUGUGAUAGUCUUAACAUUACUUGGAUCAGAUGAUGUAGCUGCUGCUAUAUAGAAGAUAGCUCCCCACAUGAUGGUUUCACAUUAUCUUGCACAAUGUAUUUGUAGACUUUUUGGAUUUGCACUUGCAAAGUUACAAUGGAUUUGUGAUGUAUAACCUGUGUAUCCAGCUUGACUUUAGAGAGAGUAACAUAUGUAUGACUUCAACAGAUUGUGUAAGUGUAUCUGCAAUGUAUAUAUAUGGAUAGAACCUAUGUAUUUAUGAUGCAUGUAAGAUAUAUCUCAUUUCCCUUU